GAAAUGCGAUACUUGGUGUGAAUUGCAGAAUCCCGUGAACCAUCGAGUCUUUGAACGCAAGUUGCGCCCAAAGCCAUUAGGCCGAGGGCACGUCUGCCUGGGCGUCACACGUCGUUGCCCCCCCUCCCCUUCGGGGGAAGGACGGGGCGGAUGAUGGCCCUCCCGUGUGCCCCGUCGCGCGGUUGGCCCAAAUACCAAGUCCUCGGCGACCUGCGCCGCGACAAUCGGUGGUUGUCAAACCUCGGUGUCCUGUCGCGCGCGCGGUUCGAUCGCGGGGCUUCCUUACAUGUUCGCGUCGUUCAUCCGACGUUUUCAACGCGACCCCAGGUCAGGCGGGGUUACCCGCUGAAUUUAA
rnacentral:misc_RNA from 1 species